GGAAAAAGCACAAGGACCUGCUCACCCAGUGAGUAAAUUUGGCAAAUCUGGUUUGUUGAGCCCAGGCUGGAAGAAGCUGUUCACUUUGCCUUCACUCCAGGUCUCACUGCUGGGUUCCUGGUCCCACAUCAUUGUGGCUUCUUUGCAAAUUUGUACCCAGAUUUGGUUCACCUGAGGUGAGCACACAAUAAGUGGUUAUUUCUCAUCCAUCUGAACUGUUUGUGCUGCUCUGAUCUGAGGGAUUGUCCUGAAACAGGCAUUAAAAAAAUCUGUCUCCUUGGGAGAUUUCAGAUACAUUCUGUUUCAACAAGCUGGAAGUAUCUGGAGUCAGAAUUUUUUCUGACAGCAACUUUACCCAAUAUACCCUUUGUC
rnacentral:lncRNA from 1 species